AACGAACGCUGGCGGCAGGCUUAACACAUGCAAGUCGAACGGAUCUUUCGGGGUAGGCGGGGCAGGGGGGUGAACAACGCGGGAAAAUGCACCCCGGGGUGGGACAUAGCUCGGGAAAACGGGCUAAUACACGAUAUGUUUUCUGGGGGACAAAGUUUCAUCGCCAAGGGAUGGGCCCGCGUCAGAUUAGCUUGUGGGUGGUGUAACGGCCUACCAAGGCGACGAUCCGUAGCUGGUCUGAGAGGAUGAUCAGCCACAUUGGGACUGAGACACGGCCCAGACUCCUACGGGAGGCAGCAGUGGGGAAUAUUGGACAAUGGGCGCAAGCCUGAUCCAGCCAUGCCGCGUGAGUGAUGAAGGCCCUAGGGUUGUAAAGCUCUUUUACCGGUGACGAUAAUGACGGUACCCGGAGAAGAAGCCCCGGCUAACUUCGUG
rnacentral:rRNA from 1 species